rnacentral:rRNA from 1 species
CUGGCGGCGUGCUUAACACAUGCAAGUCGAACGGGGAUGCUUAUGGAAGGAGUGCUUGCACUUUGGAAAUGAGUAUCUUAGUGGCGGACGGGUGAGUAACGCGUGGGUAACCUGCCCCAUACCGGGGGAUACCACCUGGAAACAGGUGCUAAUACCGCAUAGGCGCACGGGAGCGCAUGCUCCUGUGUGAAAAACUCUCGGUGGUAUCGGGAUGGACCCGCGUCUGAUUAGCCGGUUGGCACGGUAACGGCCUACCAAGCGACGAUCUUAGCCGGCCUGAGAGGGUGGACGGCCACAUUGGGACUGAGACACGGCCCAAACUCCUACGGGAGGCAACAAUGGGGAAUAUUGCACAAUGGGGGAAACCCUGAUGCACCGACGCCACGUGAGUGAAGAAGUAUUUCGGUAUGUAAAGCUCUAUCACCAGGAACGACACAAGACCGUACCUGACUAAUAAGCCCUCGGCUAACUACGUGCCAGCAGCCGCGGUAAUACGUAGGGGGCAAGCGUUAUCCGGAAUCACUGGGUGUAAAGGGAGCGUAGACGGCUGACCAGGCCUGAAGUGAAAGGCGGGGGCCCAACCCCGGCACUGCUUUGGGAACUGUACGGCUGGAGUGCACGAGAGGUAAGUGGAAUUCCUAGUGUAGCGGUGAAAUGCCUAGAUAUCUAGGAGGAACACCAGUGGCGAAGGCGGCUUACUGGACUCUAACUGACGUUGAGGCUCGAAAGCGUGGGGAUCAAACAGGAUUAGAUACCCUGGUAGUCCACGCAGUAAACGAUGAUUAUUAGGUGUCGGGGGGCGAGAGGCCUUUCGGUGCCGCAGCAAACGCAAUAAGUAAUCCACCUGGGGAGUACGUCCGCAAGGAUGAAACCCAAAGGAAUUGACGGGGACCCGCACAAGCGGUGGAGCAUGUGGUUUAAUUCGAAGCAACGCGAAGAACCUUACCCGGCCUUGACAUCCCCCUGACAGCAUAUGUAAUGUAUGUUCCUUUCGGGGCAGGGGAGACAGGUGGUGCAUGGUUGUCGUCAGCUCGUGUCGUGAGAUGUUGGGUUAAGUCCCGCAACGAGCGCAACCCUUACCCACAGUAGCCAGCACAAAAGGUGGGCACUCUGUGGGGACUGCCGGGGACAACCCGGAGGAAGGUGGGGAUGACGUCAAAUCAUCAUGCCCCUUAUGGCCGGGGCUACACACGUGCUACAAUGGCGUAAACAAAGGGAAGCGAGAGAGUGAUCUUAAGCGAAACUCAAAAAUAACGUCCCAGUUCGGAUUGCAGUCUGCAACUCGAUUGCAUGAAGCUGGAAUCGUUAGUAAUCGCGGAUCAGAAUGCCGCGGUGAAUACGUUCCCGG